GGUUAAGUUAGAAAGGGCGCACGGUGGAUGCCUUGACACUAGGAGUCGAUGAAGGACGGGACUAACGCCGAUAUGCUUCGGGGAGCUGUAAGUAAGCUUUGAUCCGAAGAUUUCCGAA
rnacentral:rRNA from 1 species